rnacentral:pre_miRNA from 1 species
AGCUGAUGAUGAUGGUGAUGAUGAUGAUGGUGUUGAUGAUGAUGAUGAAGAAGCUAGUGUGAUGCUGAUGAUGGUUUUAUUGCUGGUGCAAUCAUCAUCAUCGUCCCAAUCGUCAUCAUCAUCGUCGUCGUCAUCAUCAUUAUAGGAA